rnacentral:tRNA from 1 species
GAGGGUAUAGCUCAGUGGUAGAGUGUAUGCUUAGCAUGCACAAAGUCCUGGGUCUAAUCCUCAGUACUGCCA